rnacentral:rRNA from 1 species
AUUGAACGCUGGCGGCAUGCCUUACACAUGCAAGUCGAACGGCAGCACGGGAGCAAUCCUGGUGGCGAGUGGCGAACGGGUGAGUAAAGUAUCGGAACGUGCCCAGUCGUGGGGGAUAACGUAGCGAAAGUUACGCUAAUACCGCAUACGAUCUAUGGAUGAAAGCGGGGGAUCGCAAGACCUCGCGCGAUUGGAGCGGCCGAUAUCAGAUUAGGUAGUUAGUGGGGUAAAGGCUCACCAAGCCGACGAUCUGUAGCUGGUCUGAGAGGACGACCAGCCACACUGGGACUGAGACACGGCCCAGACUCCUACGGGAGGCAGCAGUGGGGAAUAUUUAGCAAUGGGCGAAAGCCUGACUAUGCGACGCCGCGUGAGGGAUGAAGGUUUUCGGAUCGUAAACCUUUUUUGUCAAGAAAGAACAUUUCAAACCUAACACGUUUGAGACUGACGGUACUUGACGAAUAAGCCACGGCCAACUCCGUGCCAGCAGCAGCCGCCG